rnacentral:lncRNA from 10 species
GUGCAGUCGUGCAAUCUCCACUCUCUGCAACCUCCAACUCCAUGGUUCAAGCAAUUGUCCUGCCUCAGCCUCCCGAGUAGCUGGGAUUACAGGCAUGCGCCACUACACCCAGCUAAUUUUUGUAUUUUUAGUAAAGGGGGGUUUCACCAUGUUGGCCAGGAUGGUCUUGAUCACCUGACCUUGUGAUCUGACCGCCUCGGCCUCCCAAAGUGCUGGGAUUACAGACGUGAGCCACUGCGCCCAGCCAGUUUUCUUUUUUAGUUCUUUUCAAAACCCUUUCUUAACAGUUGAAAUGCAUUUAUAUAAAGAAGUUUACGUUUCACAAUCCCACUGGCCUGUUUCCCAGGCAUUUUUUUAAACCAAUUACUGUUUGCUUUGGUGUCUGUUGUGAUUUCUCUUAUUUAGUUGGAUUUUGUAGUUACUUUAAAAGUUACGAAAUUUCACAUUUCAUCAAGUCCAGAGGCCAGAGACACCCAAAUAUGCACAGACAGGAAUCAGCUGCAAUUGUCCAAGCCAGAGCUGAUUAGGCCUCAACUGGAAUAGUCCCACCAUGUAAUAAAUCUUCCUGAGUAUUGUGUAUAAGGUCAAAUAUUUCCAGCUUCUUUGAUUUUACUGCCCGUCUUCCUAGGUCUCCAUCCGUAAAGUGGAUGGAAACACUGUCAUUGAAGGAGCUAGUUCUUCAAAUUUAAUUUUUUUUUUUUUUUUUUUCCUGAGACAGAGUUUCGUUCUUGUUUCCCAGGCUGGAGCGCAAUGGUGCGAUCUCGGCUCACCGCAACAUCCGCCUCCCGGGUACAAGCAAUUCUCCUGCCUCAGGUUCCCGAGUAGCUGGGAUUACAGGCAUGCGACACUACACCCAACUAAUCUUGUAUUUUUAGUAGAGACGGGGUUUCUCCAUGUCGGUCGGGCUGGUCUCGAACUCCUGACCUCAGGUAAUCCGCCCACCUCGGCCGCCCAAAGUGCUGGGAUUACAGGUGUGAGCCACCGCACCUGGCCAAAAUAUUUUUAAUUGAUUAAAAAUGAGAUAAUUUGAGGAAACAUGCAUAGAAUACUAGACAGAGACUAUUUUAGCAGAUAAGAGUGCCACUUUUAGUAAAAGAAGUUGUCACCUAGAAGAAAGUACAGGUGCUCCUUGACUUACCGUGGGUUAAGUCCUGAAAAGCCCACUGUAAGUUGAUAAUACCUUAUUUUGAAAAUGCAUUUAAUACACCUAACCUACCAAAUGUAGCUUAGCCUGGCCUAACUUAAAGGUGCUCAGAACACUUAGAUUAGCAUACAGUUGGACAAGAUAGCAUAAAGCCUAUUUUACAAUAAAGGAUAUCUCAUGUAAUUUUCUUGGAUACUGUACUGAAAAUGAAAAACAGAUUGAUUGCAUGGGUACUUGAAAUAUGGUUUCUAACUGAAUGCAUACCAGUUUCGCACCAAUGUAAAGUUGAAAAAUUGUUAAGUUGGACCAUCAUACGUUGGGGACCAUCUGUACAUAGAGUAGGACUCUUGAGAGCCUAAGGGCCACAGAAAUUCCUUUUCCAACUGCAGUGUCUAUGGAGGGAUUCUUAUAAUUAAUUUUAUUCCUGUGCAAACACACUAUCUGUGUAUUCUCUAUUUUACCAGGAUUUUUUGUUUUUGCUAAAUUAGACAUACAAUUUUGCAGUUAUUUUUUACUAAGUUGACAAAUGUUUGUACAAUUUCAGUGUAAAGCUAGUCUUCAAAAUAAACCACUGUGAAGAUUGGAUAUUACCUUGGAUUUUCUGUUGUGCACUCUUGAAUUUUAAUUAUGUUCUGUGGAAACUUCACAGAGUUUUAGCUUUGAUCCUUCCUUCACUUUUGAAAAUCAAGAGUAAAGUUAAGUCAAAGCUACUUCUAAACAGCUCUAUCUUUAAUUUCUAUUAAAUAGUACUGAGGUAUCAAUUUUGUAGCUUGUGGAAUGCGGACUAUCCCAGCAGCAAAUUCAUUAAUAUGGUUUGUAUAGGACUCACUUUGCAGCAUUCAAUUUUAGUAUAACAUGUUUUCCUGUUUACAAAUAUAAGUAAUUACCUUUCCGUUUUAAGUGACCAAUUGUCCUAGCAAUCUACUUCACAAGGCAAUUUACCUGUAAUAAAUAUAACUUUUUUGCAGACUUGAGCAUACGUUUAAACCAUUUAACCAUUCUUGAAUUUCUUAACAUAGUAAGUUACAAAUUUUAACUAUGAAUCUUCUUCUUCGAAAGGAAUCUUGUCUAAAUCUAAUAAAGCAUUUUUCUGGCUGAAGCUGCAAUGGAAAGCUUCAGUAUGAAGCUGGCAUAAGGAAAGCCAGUAAAAAGUGCCCUUUCUUCUUUCUGAGAGCCCCACCUCUGAUCCUCCUACACUUAAGGCUUCUAGAUGCAGAUUUAUACAAUAGUGCUAAAUCAAGACCUUGAAAAAUGUACUCAUAUAGUAAGAUUUACUCAAAACCACGAACUCCUCCAUUAUUUAAAAUAUGUUAGAGAUACAUAAAUAUAUAGAGAAAAUGCAUACAUACAUAAUUUAUUGAGUGCCUACUGUGUGCUAGGUACUUUUCUGGGUACCUUACUAAUGCUCUCAUUUAGUCAUCAGAGCAGUCCUGCAAUAUUGGUAAAAUUUCCAUUUUCUAUAUAAGGAAACACAUUUAAGAGAGGUUAGUAUUUUGUGCAAUGUUGGCUAUCUAGGAAGUGGCAGAGCUGGGUGUAAAAUCUAGAGUUAAGACCUUUGUUAGCCAUAUCUUCAAAAUCCAGUGUCAUUUCUUAGCCAUAUCUUCAAAAUCCAGUGUCAUUUCUUAGCCAUAUCUUCAAAAUCCAGUGUCAUUUCUUAGCCAUAUCUUCAAAAUCCAAUGGCAUAAAGAAGUUUUUCACAAGGGUGCCACAUGGUGUAGUGCAGCAUGUCCAACAGCAUUGCCUGAACAGAUGUUAAUAAGUAUGCAUGAUGCACAUUAGCAUGUCAAUGGCUGUGAAAAGCCAGUGCAGUAAAGAAGUAAAGAGCUCUCUGUGUGUUAACCCUCCAUUUCACAAACAUAGGAACUGCACAGACACAGCAGCCACUACCCAGGUGUGAAUGCAGAGCACUUAAAACGUAGCUAGUCCAAAGUGAGUUGGCCUAUUAGUGUAAAAUACAAGAGUUCAGAUACACAGAAUUUAAAAAUUACAUGUUGAACUGAUUUGUGAUAUAUUGGGUUAUAUAAUUUUAAAAUUCUACUUUUUUUUACAUUUUUAAUGUGGUUUUGGAAAAUAGGUACUCAUGUGUCUUUGCAUUAUAUUUGUAUUUGGGAAAUGAAAUGCUUUAUUUUUCUUCCACAACAACUCUAUUUGCAUUGCAUGGAAAUGUUCCCAAGUUUUAGAGAAACACAUACAAAAACUAAAAAGGAUAGAAUGCUAAAAUUUGAAUGUGGAAGAUGUGGGUCUUGGUGUCUUGAAUAAAUCACACCUUCAGUGACUUUCUUGGGAAAUGGUGGGCCUCAGUAAAGACUUGGACUAUUCCAGUUUUAAAUGCUAUCGUUUGGUUUGGUGUAAUAUAGCCUUUCCUGUGGGGGGAAAACCCAUCUCAUUUUCACUUUAAAUAUGUCAGCUAUAAUAAAAGAGAGACAUACACAUUUUAAGAUCUAUACUCUAAAACAGGGUUUUGAAAUUAGCAGCUCUCUUUAUUUUUAGUUCCAAUACAUGGAGGGGGAGUUGACCCUUCAAGAUACUGGAAAAUUAUUAAAUCCAGUUUACAGACUCAUCUCUUUAGUCUGCAGCCAAAUCAAAAGAUUAGUGGGGUUUUUUUUAAUGUUGUUAUUGUGUUGUGUUUUGUUUUUUUAAUAUGUUUCAAUUCCCCUAGCCAAAUUCCUUUCUUUCUCCACACCUCCCACAGGACUGGGCUGAGCACAGUCAUGCAUUAAAAAAGCUUCUGAACUUAUUUUGGAAAGAGUAGCUCCCUGGAGUGUGGAGGAGGACAGGAAUUUGCUAUCUGCAGGACUUAAAUCAGGAUAGAGUAUCAAAUAUUCCAAGGCCUUACAUGCAUGUUUUGUUUUUUGAUAAAGACAGAAGAUUGCAAAUGGUUUGCUCUUUAACAGUCAAUAAAAUCAUAUCUACUAAUCAAUACAUUUGAAGUUUACUAGAUUCUCAAACUUUCCAUAAGAUUUGAGUUCAUUAGUUUAAUGGGAUCGAUCUGAGAAAAAUUAGAUUUAUGUGCAGAUUUUAGCUACCCUUGUCCUUGGAAUGUGUAUGCACACACACACACAUCUGUGAGAAUGAUUAUUUUCUACUUGAUACAGUGUGCAUCAAAUAAAAGUUUACUAUAUUGGAAUAUGGGAAUAAAUUCAUUUAUAAUUAGUUGAAAUUGUCCAGACACAUAUUUUAGAAAAGUAUGUUAUUUUUGUUUUAAGUUUGGAAGAACCUGAAUGAUUAAACCUGAUUUAAGUCCCUCUAACAAUUAUGAAGAAAAAAAAAGACUAGAUUUUAUAUCAACUUAAUUGUCUUUUGGUUUAAAAUUAUGUAUCCA